rnacentral:lncRNA from 1 species
GCUGAGUGUAUUUGCAAAGAAUCCUAACGAGAACACAAGACUAAUCAUAGAAGCUGCAGCAAUCGCUGAAGGUGGCUCUGUUAGUAAGCCUUCGAUAGCUUUAACUGACAAGGAACUUGCUGUCUUGCACCCACACAUGCGCUCGUGUUCUU